rnacentral:rRNA from 1 species
UACGAAGGGGGCUAGCGUUGCUCGGAAUCACUGGGCGUAAAGGGUGCGUAGGCGGUCGGGUAAGUUUGAUGUGAAAUCUCCGGGCUUAACCCGGAAACUGCAUUGAAUACUAUCGGCUUGAGGUCUGGAGGGGGACUGGAAUUGCUCGGUGGUAGCAGUGAAAUGCGUAGAUAUCAGGAAGAACACCCGUGGCGAAAGCGGCUCUCGUGGAACGGUACUGACGCUGAGACGCGAAAGCGUGGGGAGCGAACAGG